GGUUUCGUAGCUCAAAUAGUAGGGCAGGUUCCUAAUGUGAACACUUCGGCGUUUGGUUCGAUUCCAGCCGAAGCCU